rnacentral:tRNA from 1 species
GCUGGUGUAGCUCAGUUGGUAGAGCAACUGAUUCGUAAUCAGUAGGUCGGGGGUUCAAGUCCCUUCACCAGCACCA